rnacentral:misc_RNA from 1 species
GAUGAAGAACGUAGCGAAAUGCGAUAAGUAAUGUGAAUUGCAGAAUUCAGUGAAUCAUCGAAUCUUUGAACGCACAUUGCGCCCUCUGGUAUUCCGGGGGGCAUGCCUGUUCGAGCGUCAUUAUAACCACUCAAGCUCUCGCUUGGUAUUGGGGCUCGCGGUUCCGCGGCCCCUAAAAUCAGUGGCGGUGCCUGUCGGCUCUACGCGUAGUAAUACUCCUCGCGAUUGAGUCCGGUAGGUCUACUUGCCAGCAACCCCCAAUUUUUACAGUUUGACCUCGGAUCAGGUAGGGAUACCCGCUGAACUUAAGCAUAUCAAUAAGCGGAGGA